rnacentral:tRNA from 3 species
UCCCCAGGUUCAUUUCCAAAAUACU